AGUGAAUAGAUACCCUGGUAGUCCACGCCGUAAACGAUGGAUGCUAGCUGUUAUCAGUAUCGACCCUGGUAGUAGCGAAGCUAACGCGUUAAGCAUCCCGCCUGAGGAGUACGAGCGCAAGCUUAAAACUCAAAGGAAUUGACGGGGACCCGCACAAGCGGUGGAGCGUGUUGUUUAAUUCGAUGGUAAGCGAAGAACCUUACCAAGGUUUGACAUCCUGGGAAAGUUGGUGAAAGCCGACCGUGCCUUCGGGAACCCAGUGACAGGUGAUGCAUGGCCGUCGUCAGCUCGUGUCGUGAGAUGUUUGGUUAAGUCCAUCAACGAGCGCAACCCUUAUAGUCUGUUGUAUUUCUCAGGCUAGACUGCCCCGGUAACGGGGAGGAAGGAGGGGAUGAUGUCAGGUCCGUAUUUCCCUUACACCUUGGGCUACAAACACGCUACAAUGGCCGGUACAAAGGGCUGCCAAGCAGCAAUGCGGAGCAAAUCCCAUCAAAGCCGGUCUCAGUUCGGAUUGUUGGCUGAAACUCGCCAGC
rnacentral:rRNA from 1 species